GUGAGUCAUCGAAUCUUUGAACGCACAUUGCGCCCCUUGGUAUUCCGGGGGGCAUGCCUGUUCGAGCGUCAUUUCAACCCUCAAGCUCUGCUUGGUCUUGGGCCGCGCCGGCGACGGCGGGCCUCAAAAACAGUGGCGGCGCCGUCCGGUCCCUCAGCGUAGUAACUCUUCUCGCUGCUGGGCCCGGGCGGCCGCUGGCCAGAACCCCCAACUCUUUAUGGUUGACCUCGGAUCAGGUAGGGAUACCCGCUGAACUUAAGCAUAUCAAUAAGCGGAGGA
rnacentral:misc_RNA from 1 species